rnacentral:rRNA from 1 species
UACAGAGGGUGCGAGCGUUGUCCGGAAUCACUGGGCGUAAAGGGCGCGUAGGCGGUCUCUUAAGCGUGUGGUGAAAGCCCGGGGCUCAACUCCGGGUCGGCCGUGCGAACUGGGGGACUGGAGCUUGUCAGAGGCAGGCGGAAUUCCGGGUGUAGCGGUGGAAUGCAUUGAGAUCGGAAAGAACACCAACGGCGAAAGCACUCUGCUGGGCCGACACUGACACUGAGAGACGAAAGCUAGGGGAGCAAAUGGG